rnacentral:rRNA from 1 species
AGUCACUGACAUUAGAUACCCCUGUAGUCCUAGCCGUAAACGAUACUCGCUAGGUGUCGGCCACGGUGUGACCGUUGUCGGUGCCGUAGGGAAGCCGUGAAGCGAGCCACCUGGGAAGUACGGCCGCAAGGCUGAAACUUAAAGGAAUUGGCGGGGGAGCACCACAACGGGUGGAGCUUGCGGUUUAAUUGGAUUCAACGCCGGAAAUCUUACCGGGACCGACAGCAACAUGAAGGCCAGGCUGAAGACUUUGCCGGAUUAGCUG